CAGACAUGGGUGCCUGAAAAAGCUCUUUAGUUAACUGUGUAUGGAAGUGAAAAAAAUUAAUAAAUAACAUUAGUAUAACAGAACCUCUAAACAUUAAUACAUUGGCAAAACAAAAUGGACUUAAAAUGAAAAUGACUCUUAAAGCUCUGCUAUUCUCUGUAAGAAUAUUUACCUUCUGUUUUAUUCUUUACAGGUGAGAAUGAUUAAAUACUGUCAAAAUCCUGAAUAAGGAGGACUUUGAAAAGAACUGUUUCUAUCUCCCAAUUCUUUAUUAAGUUAUAGGCAAGGAAGAGCUGAGAAGAGGGAAAGAGGCAAGUAAAACGUCAUUAUACAGAAAAC
rnacentral:lncRNA from 1 species